rnacentral:rRNA from 1 species
AGGAUAAACGCUGGCGGCGUGCCUAACACAUGCAAGUCGAACGUCUCUUCUUUCGGGAAGAGGAGUGGCGGACGGGUGAGGAACACGUGGGAACCUGCCCUACAGUGAGGAAUACCGGCGAGAAAUCGCCGACAAGACCGCAUAGCCCUCUCUGGUGAGAGCCAGAGAAGGAAAGCUUCGCAAGAGGCGCUGGAGGAGGGGCCUGCGUCCGAUUAGCUAGUUGGUGGGGUAAGAGCCUACCAAGGCGUCGAUCGGUAGCUGGUCUGAGAGGACGAUCAGCCACACUGGGAUUGAGAACGGCCCAGACUCCUACGGGGGGCAGCAGUGAGGAAUUUUCGGCAAUGGGGGAAACCCUGACCGAGCAACGCCGCGUGCAGGAAGACGGCCUUCGGGUUGUAAACUGCUUUUCUUUGGGUACGAGCAAGGACGGUACCAGAGGAAUCAGCCCCGGCUCACUACGUGCCAGCAGCCGC